UGGGGAAUAUUGCGCAAUGGGCGAAAGCCUGACGCAGCGACGCCGCGUGAGGGAUGAAGGCCUUCGGGUCGUAAACCUCUGUCAGGAGGGAAGAAGUGUAUGGGGAGUAACUGCCUCAUAUUUGACGGUACCUCCAAAGGAAGCACCGGCUAACUCCGUGCCAGCAGCCGCGGUAAUACGGAGGGUGCAAGCGUUAAUCGGAAUCACUGGGCGUAAAGCGCGCGUAGGCGGCCUUAUAAGUCAGGGGUGAAAGCCCACGGCUCAACCGUGGAACUGCCCUUGAUACUGUUUGGCUAGAGUCUGUGAGAGGGUAGUGGAAUUCCAGGUGUAGGAGUGAAAUCCGUAGAUAUCUGGAGGAACAUCAGUGGCGAAGGCGACUACCUGGUGCAGUACUGACGCU
rnacentral:rRNA from 1 species